rnacentral:lncRNA from 1 species
AUGGCUGCCCACUCCCCUGUCUCGGCCACCUCAGACCCGGGUUCCACCAUGUGCUGCAAUCCACUUGGGCUCGGCCGCAGCCCGGAGCCAACGUCCCGUGGAGGAGGAGGGAGGAGGGAGGAGGGGGAGGAGGGGGAGGAGGGAGGAGGGGGAGGAGGGAGGAGGGAGGAGGGGGAGGAGGAGGAGGAGGAGGAGGGAGGAGGGGGGAGGAGGGGGGAGGAGGGGAGGAGGGGGGGAGGAGGGAGGAGGAGGAGGAGGAGGAGGAGGGAGGAGGAGGAGGAGGGAGGAGGAGGAGGAAGAGGAGGAGGAGGAGACUAUAAUUAUCCUCCCCGGCUGGGGCAGGCCCUGGAUGACAUCUCCCCAGUUACCCGGUGCUCUAAUAGCGCAGCGCCGAUUCCCGGUUCCAGUCGCGCCGCAGCGGGCUCCCAGGGCGGGCAGGGCCCGGAGCACGGUCGCCGCGCCCGCAGCGUCCCUGGCCUCCCGAGCCUCCGGGGCUCCGCGGGCCCCCCCGCCGCGCCCCCGCCGCCGCCCGCACCUGCACCGAGAGCCCGGCCCGGGGCUAGGGCCCUGCGGCGCGCGGGCUGUUACCAUAACAACCGGGCGCCCGCCGCGGAGGCCGCCGGGGAGGAAGUGACGCGCGGUGGGUCGGCUGUUGUUGGGACACGUGACCCGGGCAGUGUUUUGACAGGGCAAACAGCGGAGAAAGAGCUGGGCGAGCGAGGGGGACCGGGAGCUGGGGCGCCAGAGCUAGAGACAGCGGGCGGGCGAGGAGCUGGCCGAGGCGCGGGGCAAGCGGGCCGGCCGGGGCGACGGGCGGGCGAAGCCCGGGGGCCGCGGGGCUCGGGUGCGAGUCGGGCAGGGGGGCGGGCUGGGCGCUGGGAGCGGAGCGGAGCGAGGCGGCGGCCGAGGCGGGGGUGGAUGGCCGCGGGGGCUGGUGCCCUCGGGCCCCCGUGGUCCUCUGAGGCAGCCCGGGGGGCCGCUGCGCGCCACGCUCCGCUCUCGCCGGCCCUGCGCCUCUCGGAGCCUCGGGUCUGCGGCGGGGGUGUGAUGUGA